GCCAGGAUCCCCACUGGCUGGCAAGUGCCUUCUCUGGCUGGAAGAACUGCCUUCUCCUUAGACUACUGCAGAUGAUGAGAUACGGGAACGCCUGAUGAAAGCCGGCAAAAGAAAAAUUCAUGGAAAGGACUCUGACAUUUACACUGGAGUACAGGUUUCUGACAAACUUUCUGAUCAUAAAACUGAACUUGCUAAGAAAUUACAGAAAUCUGAUGGAGAAACUGAUGACUUCAUGAAGCUGCUAACAAAAAGAUUGGGAUCAAGAAUGGAUUACACAGGACUAAAUGAACUGAUAAGGAUGAUUAUAAUUUUUAUGAUUUUUCAUUUGAAGUAUUGCUGAAUUUUUAAUGUUUUGUUUUUUCGGAUUUAAGGAAAACUUUUUCUCUUUUCUCCUGAGCUAGCUAUGACUUAUAGCAAUUUGGUAAAUGAUACUUUUGUAAGUAAAAUUGAAAUAUUUAUCUUUUUCUCUCUAUCUGAUCCCUCGAAUUUGGAAACUCUUAGUAAGUGAGUAUUGUUAUUUUCAUGGCAAUAUAGUUAUUUGCAUAAGUUCAAUAAGAAUCUGUUCUCCUUAUAACAGGACACAAUUGGAAACACUGGUUAUAUCACCAAGGCUGUGACUGGAACAUCAUAUUUGCGAUAUAACCAUACAGCUUUUGAGGUGUGAAGAUUGGACUUUAUGGAAUAAAGCCAUGUGGAAAUAUGGGCCUGGUACAUUAUGUUCCAAGCAGCACUUACCAGGACAAGUAAAGAAUGUCACUUCUCUGGCAGGCACAAGGAACCUCGAAAUAUUUUGGGGGAACCUCGGAAGAGAGGAAUUCACCCAAAUCUGUAGGUAUUACAGGCGAAGUCUGAUGACAAAAUCCUUGGCUUGGCUUUCCUGGCCUCGAGAGGCCUUUAAAGUUCAAUCUGAGAUUCCUUAUAAAAAGUUCCAGCAAAGCAGAUUUAAAAGAGCCUUUGUGAUCAAUUGCUAUUCUUGCUGUACUUAUGUAAAUAAUUGUGCCAACUCUAUUGGAACUAGA